UGUGUGUGUGUGUGUGUGUGUAGGAGGUUUAGCAGGCCUGACUUAAGACCGAACCCUGACGGUGUUUAGGCAUGGUCCGGUUGGAGAGCUUAUUUCCAGCGUUGGAGGUCUUUUCAGUUUUUCUAAAGACUUGUCCAAGUUAAACCACAAGAAUGUCAUGGGCUUGCUUGGCUACCACGGAGAAGGG